CUAACCCUGCACUAUUAUAGUUUGUUGCAUUUAUUUAUAGUUUAUUAUUUGCGUUUAGCAUUGUUUUUCCCACUGCUUUUCCCUGACAGAGCAAACCUGCAAACCACCAGGAUUUGUUUCUUGCGUUAUGAAUCUUCAGGGGCACAUAAUUCUCUACAUGGGUUUUGGAUGACGUCAUCUGAGCCCCAUUUCAAAACAUAAAAACAAACAGUUUUAUGCAUUUUACACUAUUUUAUGGCAGUAUAAUUCUUAACGCGGCAUCUCGCCGCUCCGCAAGAGUCAAUCCGUGCAACAUCAUUAAACUAAAUGACCGGAAGCUUUUCUUCAGUAACCUCAACCACACAC